GACAGAGGGUGCAAACGUUGUUCGGAAUUCCUGGGCGUAAAGCGCGUGUAGGCGGCUACGCAAGUCGGAUGUGAAAUCCCGUGGCUCAACCACGGAAGUGCACCCGAAACUGCGCAGCUGGAGUCUCGGAGAGGAAGGUGGAAUGCUUGGUGUAGAGGUGAAAUUCGUAGAUAUCAAGCGGAACACCGGUGGCGAAGGCGGCCUUCUGGACGAUGACUGACGCUGAGGUGCGAAAGCGUGGGGAGCAAACAGG
rnacentral:rRNA from 1 species